rnacentral:rRNA from 1 species
UCCGUAGGUGAACCUGCGGAAGGAUCAUUUGUGAAUUUUUGGGUGCUCUACUUCGCGUAGAGGCCUGACCUCCACUCUCCAACACUGUGCACUAUUCGGCUUGAUUUGGAAAAUGAAAAGGGACUUUCGAGUUCUUUUGAAAAUGAAUAAUCAGGCGGCUUCAUUUUUAACACUAGUUUAAGAAUGUAACCAAAAACAAAACUAAAAAAACUUUCAACAACGGAUCUCUUGGCUCUCGCAUCGAUGAAGAACGCAGCGAAAUGUGAUAAGUAAUGUGAAUUGCAGAAUUCAGUGAAUCAUCGAAUCUUUGAACGCACCUUGCGCUCUCUGGUAUUCCGGAGAGCAUGCCUGUUUGAGUGUCAUGAACUCUUCAACCCACCAGUUUCUUGUUUAACCGGAUGGUGUUUGGAUUUUGAGUGUUGCUGGUCUUUGGACGUAGCUCAUUCGUAAUACAUUUGCAUCUCAAUUUCGAAACUCGGAUUGACUCAGCGUAAUAGACUAUUCGCUGAGGGACACCUCACGGUGGCCGAAUUUGAAGACAGUAGAAGCUUUUAAUCAGAUCUUUGUCAAUUUUUUGAUUUGACCUCAGAUCAGGCAGGAUUUCCCGCUGAACUUUAGCAUAUCAAUAAGCGGAGGA